rnacentral:tRNA from 1 species
GCAGCGGUAGUUCAGUUGGUUAGAAUAUCGGCCUGUCACGCUGAGGGUCGCGGGUUCGAGCCCCGUCCGCUGCGCCA